ACAUACACACUCACACAUGCACGCAUAUCUAAAAUACACACAUAGAGUCCCCCUGUCCAAACAGCCCGGCACCAGCUCCUCUUAAAUAUUUAAGCUUGGCUGUAUUGGGUUGCUGUGUGUGUGUGUGUGCGUGUGUGUGU